UACAGAGGGGGCAAGCGUUGUUCGGAAUUACUGGGCGUAAAGCGCUCGCAGGUGAUCCGUCGCGUCGUGCGUGAAAGACCCCGGCUCAACUGGGGAGGGUCGUGCGAUACGGGCGGACUGGAGGCCAGUAGGGGGAUGCGGAAUUCCGGGUGUAGUGGUGGAAUGCGUAGAGAUCCGGAGGAACACCAGCGGCGAAGGCGGCAUCCUGGACUGGUCCUGACACUCAGGAGCGAAAGCGUGGGGAGCGAUCCGG
rnacentral:rRNA from 1 species